ensembl:scaRNA small Cajal body-specific RNA 20
GACCUCUUGCCCCUUGGCCUGCUGGAGAUCCUACAGCUCCUCAGCCAGGGCUGGAGGCCAAUAUCAGCCCUGGAAGAACAUCAUCAGAGCUGCUAUGAGUGAAUAGUCUUGUUUUUCUACCUCAAACAUGU